rnacentral:rRNA from 1 species
UGCAAGUCGAACGAGAAAAUCCCUUCGGGGGUGAGUAAAGUGGCGCACGGGUGAGGAACGCGUAGGUAAUCUACCCUCUGGCGGGGGACAACACUCCGAAAGGAAUGCUAAUACCGCGUAAGACCACACUCACUUGAGGUGAGAGUGGUAAAAGAUGGCCUCUUCUUGAAAGCUAUCACCGGAGGAUGAGCCUGCGUCCCAUCAGCUUGUUGGUAAGGUAACGGCUUACCAAGGCUAAGACGGGUAGCUGGUCUGAGAGGAUGAUCAGCCACACUGGCACUGGAACACGGGCCAGACUCCUACGGGAGGCAGCAGUGAGGAAUAUUGGGCAAUGGGCGCAAGCCUGACCCAGCCACGCCGCGUGUGUGAUGAAGGCCUUCGGGUCGUAAAGCACUGUGGGGAGGGACGAAAAACCUCCGUUCGAAUAGGGCGGAGACUUGACGGUACCUCCUUAGCAAGCACCGGCUAACUCUGUGCCAGCAGCCGCGGUAACACAGAGGGUGCGAACGUUGCUCGGAUUUACUGGGCGUAAAGCGCGUGUAGGCGGACUCGCAAGUCGGUUGUGAAAUCCCUGGGCUCAACCUAGGAACUGCAUCCGAAACUGCUUGUCUUGAGUAAUGGAGAGGGUGGCGGAAUUCCCGGUGUAGA